rnacentral:ncRNA from 1 species
CCAGUAGACGACUGGGUUGAUAGGCCAGAUGUGGAAGCCCGGUAACGGGUGGAGCUGACUGGUACUAAUAGGCCGAGGGCUUGUCCUC